AGGGAAGCUUCGUAAGCUCAGGACAGCUGCAGCUGACUGACUGUGUGUGUUUGCAUAUGUGUCCUGCCUCUCUGCUCACAGCUGUUAAGAGGCCAGUGUUGAUCAGUGGCUGUCCAGGCCUUUCAGAGCCACUCACACACCAGCAGCACAAUGAUGAUGUCACCGACUCUACUGCUGGCCACCCUGGGGCUCCUUGUUCAGGGUUCAUCAGGAGAAAAAGUCCUGACUCAGACUCCUGGAUCUCAGUCUGUUGUUCCAGAACAGACUGUCUCUGUCAGAUGUAAAGCCAGUUCAAGUGUCAGCGGC